UUAAGUUCCUUCUUCUGCCACAUUAGUCCUGUGCAACUCCAGAACUAUUGGAAAGGCAGAGAUGGAGGCUGCUUGUGUUCUGCAAAUUUUUCCUGAAACUGGAUCAAUACAUCCUGAAAUAAUCUGAUUCCCAGCAAGGAUCUCUUUUGUUAGUGCUUGCCAUCAUUCUAUCCAUUUCAAACUG